AUUGAACGCUGGCGGCAGGCCUAACACAUGCAAGUCGAACGGUAGCACAGAGAGCUUGCUCUUGGGUGACGAGUGGCGGACGGGUGAGUAAUGUCUGGGAAACUGCCCGAUGGAGGGGGAUAACUACUGGAAACGGUAGCUAAUACCGCAUAACGUCUUCGGACCAAAGUGGGGGACCUUCGGGCCUCACACCAUCGGAUGUGCCCAGAUGGGAUUAGCUAGUAGGUGGGGUAAUGGCUCACCUAGGCGACGAUCCAUGGCUGGUCUGAGAGGAUGAACAGCCACACUGGAACUGAGACACGGUCCAGACUCCUACGGGAGGCAGCAGUGGGGAAUAUUGCACAAUGGGCGCAAGCCUGAUGCAGCCAUGCCGCGUGUAUGAAGAAGGCCUUCGGGUUGUAAAGUACUUUCAGCGGGGAGGAAGGCGGUAAGGUUAAUAACCUUGCCGAUUGACGUUACCCGCAGAAGAAGCACCGGCUAACUCCGUGCCAGCAGCCGCAGUAACAC
rnacentral:rRNA from 1 species